UUUCGCAUUGGGUUUAUUAUCCACAAUGGCAUUACCGACCGCGUGCAAUAAGUGCGUUUUACCCAAGCCUGUACCACCGUA
rnacentral:antisense_RNA from 1 species